rnacentral:rRNA from 1 species
UCGAACGAGAAAGCCCUUCGGGGUGAGUACAGUGGCGAACGGGUGAGUAACACGUGGGCAAUCUGCCCCUCGCAGGGGGACAACCGGGGGAAACCCCGGCUAAUACCCCGUACGCUUGUUGAGUCGCAUGGCUCUACAAGGAAAGGUAGCUUCGGCCAUCCGGCGAGGGAUGAGCCCGCGGUGCAUUAGCUAGUUGGUGAGGUAACGGCUCACCAAGGCGACGAUGCAUAGCUGGUCUGAGAGGAUGAUCAGCCACACUGGGACUGAGACACGGCCCAGACUCCUGCGGGAGGCAGCAGUCGGGAAUCUUGCGCAAUGGGCGAAAGCCUGACGCAGCAACACCGUGUGAGCGACGAAGGCCUUCGGGUCGUAAAGCUCUGUUGUUGGGGACGAAGGGUUAGGGGUUAAUAGCCCCGAGCCUGACGGUACCCUUCGAGGAAGCCCCGGCUAACUACGUGCCAGCAGCCGCGGUAAUACGUAGGGGGCGAGCGUUG